rnacentral:rRNA from 1 species
ACUCCUACGGGAGGCAGCAGUAGGGAAUAUUGGACAAUGGGUGCGAGCCUGAUCCAGCCAUGCCGCGUGCAGGAAGACGGCCUUCUGGGUUGUAAACUGCUUUUGCCAGGGGAUAAAAAGUCCCUGCGGGGAAAAUUGAAGGUACCUGGUGAAUAAGCCACGGCUAACUCCGUGCCAGCAGCCGCGGUAAU